rnacentral:lncRNA from 1 species
AUGCAGCAGGCCUGGCCCCAGAGGCUCAGAUCAGGAACAGACAGGUACUCAGAGAUGGCGGGUAUGAGAAAACCUUGUAAGGGAAGGGAGCCCUUUGUCGGAGGGCCUGAAAGGAAACAUGGCCUUUGCUGGUUCUCUGAGUCAGCCCCCCAGCUACCACCCACACUCCUGCAGGGAGAGCUCCAGCCACUGUACACACUCCUGCAGGGGGAGUCCCAGCCACCACCCACACUCCUGCAGGGAGAGCCCCAGCCACUGUACACACUCCUACAGGGAGAGUCCCAGCCACCACCCACACUCCUAAAGAGAGAGCCUCCCAGUCACCACCCACACUCCUGCAGGGAGAGCUCCAGCCACUGUAUACACUCCUACAGGGAGAGUCCCAGCCACCACCCACACUCCUGCAGGGAGAGCCUCCCAGUCACCACCCACACUCCUGCAGGGAGAGCUCCAGCCACCACCCACAGUCCUGCAGGGAGAGCCCCAGCCACUGUACACACUCCUACAGGGAGAGUCCCAGCCACCACCCACACUCCUGCAGGGAGAGCCCCAGCCACUGUACACACUCCUACAGGGAGAGCCCCAGCCACUGUACACACUCCUACAGGGAGAGCCCCAGCCACUGUACACACUCAGAGCCCCAGCCACUGUACACACUCCUACAGGGAGUCCCACCCACCCACCACAGGAGAGCCCCAGCCACUGUACACACUCCUGCAGGAGAGCCCCAGCCACCACCCACACUCCUGCAGGGAGAGCCCCAGCCACCACCCACAGUCCUGCAGAGAGAGCCCCCCCAGCCACCACCCACAGUCCUGCAGGGAGAGCCCCAGCCACUGUACACACUCCUGCAGGGAGAGCCCCAGCCACCACCCACAGUCCUGCAGGGAGAGCUCCAGCCACCACCCACACUCCUGCAGGGAGAGGCCUCCAGAAGCCCUGGGCAGGCUGAGUGUAGCGUUUCACCCAAAGGCCAUGUCACACACCCCAGGGACGGCAUGCGGCUUCGUGAUUCCAGUGGAGCAGAGUGGGGACAGCCUGCUACGGAGCAGCAGCCCACUGGGGGAGCCUCUAGACUUGCAAUGA